GGGACAGACUGAAGAGGAGACCAGUGAUGGCUUCGGAAAGGCUCAGAUGAGUGAGAAGAUGCCUUGACAUCAGGUAAGACUGGAUUAAGUUGGUGCUCUGAAGCCCCAAGUUCAGCCAAGAGAAGAGGCUCUACCACUGGGCGGGGUUGAGGGUUUCCCCAAAUUACAUUAUCAAUGAGAUUUGUUUAUUUGGAGGGAAAAGACACUGAGGUCCAGGAGGUUUGGGGAACAGUGGGAUAAGCCAGGCUAGACCAGUUUCUUCACCGCAGGAUUUCUCAGAACCUAUAAAAUGCUAAUGGGGGUGCUGAAGCUCCAAAGGGGAGACAGGUAUGCAAUUUAACCACAUCUUUUUUUUUUUUUUUUUCCACAGAGCAUCUCUUGGGCCUGGUGCAUGGUGGAACACACCUUAGGAAAUGCAGUCUGAUGUCAUAGCGGAAAAUGAUCUUCACGCUGUUCAUGGAGACCAAUGCUGGGCUGUCAGGUUGACCAGUAACAUCCCCAAAUUUUCUGCGAUUUUAGCAAGUGGGUCCAGAAUUUGAUAACACAUCAACAAAAGAAGAAAUCUAUGUCAUCCAGCCCAAUCUUCAACAUUCUCUAUGAGUCCCAGAAAGGGUGUGUGCCUUACCUUAGGUCACACAGCUACUAAUGGUCAAGUGAAUCUCAAGCACUUAACAAUAUCAAGCUCGCUGUUCAUAGCCAGCAUCAAGAACGAAAUUUUAGGAACCUGAGAUUCUUUUUCAUAAAAACCUGCCUUGAUUUGCUCUACAUGGGGCUACUACUCUUUCACAAGGUGCCCAAAUCACCUUUCCUGCCUUGUUAUCUUUUAAAGGAAGGAUGUAAGAAGCAGUGGGAGAGCAGGUAUCAGGAGAGGAGGACCCUGAUAGAACAAGGAGACAGAUGGAGGCUUAGCUGGCUGCAUGCUGAACUGAGCACCUCUCUGGCAGGAGAGAAGGGAGCUGGGUCCCUGACUGUUUACUUCCAUGGAAGUUCACCUGAAUUUUGCUCCUGGGACAGAAUGGGAUAUUCCCGCCCAAUUCUGGCUGUGCACAUUUCUUCCCAAGAACCUCCGUCUCUGCCCUAUCUAUAUAUGGAAACACAUCUGACAACAGCAGCAGACAAGAAAGAUUUUUGUUCUCUCAGAACGCAGAAAAAUUCUCCGUCAGCAGCCGUUUUUUUCAGUGUUUGGUGCAUUGAUGUGUGGGCUACAUAG
rnacentral:lncRNA from 1 species